ensembl:lncRNA
GUUGGGUUUGUUAAUAAUGUAAUGUGUAGAUGGUAAGCUGGUCUCAUCCUUGGCUUUCUUGUGAGGGGACACAACUGCUGCACAUUGAGUACUCGCUCUGUUGUGCCAUUGCCAUUGCAAACUGUCAUGAACAAACCAAACUGACAGAAUAUAGAAGCAAAAAAAUACAACAAAAACUUUCAUGUUGAAAAUACAUCGUCAGCUCAACUCAUGUUUGUGGUAGUCAAGGCAUGAGCUACAGCAUGAUUAAAGAGGCUUUAAUGAGUUUGAGCUGAGGCUGCUUAGCCUUGAGUGGGGAUGGAUGUUAUUUUCUAUGAGAGGGGUUGUGGAGACAUCAUCCGUGAGGAUCAGCUCAGGAUGCACUGAGCACACAACAGGCAGGCUUGGUGCUGAAUGAGUGUGAGGAACCUGCUGGAAGAUGCCUCAGUAACACACCAGUAUCGGUCCACGAUCAGCACUUAUUUGGCUUGGACUGAUCUCUGAUGCUUUGAACUCUAAGAGCCUCACAGAGCUGGGAUUGUAGGAGAGUUUAAAUAGUGCUGCAGUUUGGCACAGCAGGGUUGGAAGAUUGCUCUGUUUGUGGGAUAAGACAUGGAGUAACCACUCACAAGUGAGAAGAGUAAAAAGUUAUCUGAUGGAGGAAAAAACGGUCAAGUUGAGGUUACAGCACAUCAAAGAGAAGAGUACAUCUGUAUUAAUAUCGGUGUGGUUUGUUAUUGGAGUUUGUUAGAAAUGGGACCAGCCCAACGAGUUCCACAGGUUGCAUUUUUGACUGUAUUUUUGUUUUGGAGGGCUGUAACUUUUUCACCUUCCACUUCACUUUGGAAACAGCCGCUGUUCUUGCUCUGCAGAGCACUGACUCUUCGUUGGAGGUUUUUGUUCCCCACUGCCAGCAUUUGCUCUGCUCUGUGCUCCCUGGGGAGCUGGUGACCCUGCAGGGCCAGCAACAACACCAACGGAUCUCCAGUCCAUGCAACCCCACUUUGGUUUUCUGUUCACUGUUAUUAACGGGUUUGUUGUUUGCAGAGGAGCAGCACCUUGAAGGAACAUCCAGACACAGCCUUCCUGCUUCCUGACCUCAGCACAGGGAUGCUGAUCUCUGCAAUGCCCUGUCCUUGUCCCCAGGCUCCUCCAGCCCCUUCUUCCAGCCCAGCCCCUCUCACUUGCAGCUCAGCAGUGGUGAGUUAAAAGAAAACUGUGGCAAAUUAAUCUGAAAAGGGAGAGCAGCCUUUGCAGUAGCUGAGGAAUACCUCUCUUAUCUGCACUGUCUGAGGCUGCAGAGCCACUGGGAAUUCAGAUUGGUCUUCACGUCUGAUGCGCUGCUGGGAAAUGCAUUCUGGAUGUUGAGUUUAAACAUGUCUCCAGAGGCAGCACUUGGCUGGCUGGGUGCCUGCUGCACUGCUUCCCAGCUACAUCACUUGGGUCUGGAUUUAAUACCGAGUACAUUCUACUGGUUCCUUUUUAUAGCAGCUGGCAAUAAACACAUCAUGUUACGGCUUUAUUUUGGCUACAGAUUAAUUGUAGAGAAUGUAAUUGCUUCCCCAUUUGAAGCCAGGGGGAAGCCCACAGAGUAGGUCAUCAGCUUCUUGGAGCAUCACCUGGGAGAUGGUCUUUAACAUUUGUUUGUUUUUCUAUAAGUAGGUGAGGAUUAAAAAUCAAAAGCAUCCUGCAACAACUACUCCUCUACCUAGGAAAGCACCAAGUCACUCCUGGUUCUACCGCUGUGAUGAGCAAAGGAAACCUUGAGGGAUAGGUUCGGACUUGUUACACUUAGCACUGCUCCCUUCCUCUUUUAGCUAGUAGGCAAUUAUCAGAUCCGAUCAACAGAAACAGACCUUUCCCAGAGCACAGCUCUUGUGCAGUGUUCUGCAGGUUUGGCCAACUGCACGCCUUCGGUGCUUCAGAUCCAUCUCAACGGUGUUCAGUGUGGCACUCGUGAAUCUUCACUGGGCCCUUCACUGUCCAGGAGGGGACAAUGGGCUGAGCUCUUCCAUCGAGCCUGCAGUCCCCAUUACACCGCUUUCACUCCCAGCAGCUAUUCAGUUCCUGAGUUCUAUAGUUCCUGCAUUUACUGCCUCCCAUGCAUGGGCUGUUCUCCCUCUCUGAUGCAUAGAAAUGUUGAUCUAAACUAUGAGUUGGCAGCUUGGAAGCUUUUCUUCCAGGUACAAUCUCUGCUUCCUAAGCAGGUUUUUGAGGAUGUGUCUAUUGCAGCUUUCAGCACAUCAGUGACAAUCACAGCCAACCUCAUGGUCACUGAGAACUUCAGUUUGCUGCUUGGCCUCUUUGCCUGGAAACAACAGGAUGUUUGUUUGAGAAUGGAGCAAACAAGAUGUGACACUGUGGAGGCUUUUCAGCUUAAAGGGACCACUUCCAUCCCGGAACGCCGGUCUCAUCCCAGCUCUGCAGGCAGCCACGGCACGUGGGCCUUUUUGGAAAUGCACCUGAAGACCGUUCUGGGAUCCUUCCAUCCCACACUUCCUGGCAGGCUGCUCCAGAGCCUUCCUCCUGAGGUUGUGAGUGCUGACUUCUAAACGCUGGGAUGUUCCCACUCGUCUCCACAGCAGUACCCCUCACACUCAGAAAGUGAUCUCAAGCUCGUGUUGUCUCUGACAGCUGAAGGACAGCAGAGCUCCAGGAACUGAAGCCUUUCAGUCAAGUGAACUCUAAAGUAAGAAAACAAUCGUAUUGGUUUGUCUCAAUCAUCUGUGGCCAUUCUGAGAACGUGCAAAUGGCUCAUUAGCAGUUGUAGUGCUUACAGCAGUUAUUAAAUUCUGCUGGGCCAGUAGGCAAAGUCAAACUGUGUUGCAGUUGCAGAUGAAGUUGGUGCAAAGCAGCAGGGAUGAGGGCUGCAGUGGUGUGUCAGCUGUGGGUCACCACUGCGAGCUGCCUGCACAACAAAGCCUGUAAUUUAAUGCCCUUGGCAGUUAUUUGUGCAUCAGUAUCUCAUGAUGCAGGCUGACAAAAACAUUUCCAAUUCAGAACAUAAGAAAAAGUAUAAAAAUGGGAGUGAUACCACAUGUCUGUGCUGGUUCCCAGUCACUCUGAAUGGGUUAGAUGGUGCUUAUCUCAAUUUCAGAACAGUAAGCUUGGCCUGCAGGGUGGAUUUCAUGCUCUAAGUAUGCAGACAAAACUCUUCCUGGUUGGAGGAUAAUUCUGAUGAGUUCUCGAGUCACCAAUCCAAGAAUGGAGGUGUGGAAGGAGCCCAAGGGGAGCAGCUGCUUCCAUCAGUGAGGGAGCAGGUACUGAUCUCAUGAGCAGACACAGAAUCACACAGAAUCAUAGAGUCAUAGAGUGGCUUGGGUUGGAAGGGACCUCAAGGACCAUGGAGCUCCAACCCCCCACCACAGGCAGGGCCACCAACCUCCCCAUUUCAUAGCAGCCCAGGCUGCCCAGGGCCCCAUCCAACCUGGCCUUCAACACCUCCACGGAUGGACGGGGCAUCCACAGCCUCUCUGGGCAG